rnacentral:rRNA from 1 species
GAUGAACGCUGGCGGCGUGCCUAAUACAUGCAAGUCGAGCGAACAGAUGAGGAGCUUGCUCCUCUGACGUUAGCGGCGGGCGGGUGUGUAACACGUGGAUAACCUACCUAUAAGACUGGGAUAACUUCGGGAAACCGGAGCUAAUACCGGAUAAUAUAUUGAACCGCAUGGUUCAAUAGUGAAAGACGGUUUUGCUGUCACGUAUAGAUGGAUCCGCGCCGCAUUAGCUAGUUGGUAAGGUAACGGCUUACCAAGGCAACGAUGCGUAGCCGACCUGGUAGGGUGAUAGCCCACCUGGGAACUGAGCCACGGUCCAGAGUACUAAGGGAGGGCGCAGUAGGGAACCUGACGCAACGGGCGAAAGCCUGACGGAGCAAGGCGGCGUGAGUGAUGACGACCUUCGGAUCGUAAAACUGUGUUAUUAGGGAAGAACAAAUGCGUACGUAACUAUGCACUGCUUGACGGUACCUAAUCAGAAAGCAACGGCUAACUACGUG